AACGCAUAUUGCGCCCUCUGGUAUUCCGGGGGGCAUGCCUGUUCGAGCGUCAUUUUAAAAUACUCUCAAGCAUUAGCUUGGUAUUGGGCUUCCCAUUCACGCUGGAUGGGCCUAAAACCUAGUGGCGAUACCACCCUUUUGUGGCUUUCAAGCGUAGUAAUAAAAAACACUCGUCUUGAUUAAACAGGGAAUGUUGUCUGCCAAAAAAAAAAAAAAAAAGAAGGUUGACCUCGGAUUAGGUAGGAGUACCCGCUGAACUUAA
rnacentral:misc_RNA from 1 species